GAUGAACGCUGGCGGCAUGCCUAACACAUGCAAGUCGAUCGGUAAGGCUCUUCUGAGUACACGAGAGGCGGACGGCUGAGUAACGCGUAGGAACACACCCUGCAGUGAGGGAUAAGACACCGAAAGGUGUUCUAAUACCGCAUACGGUCUUCGGAUUAAAGCAUUUAUGCGCUGAAGGAGUGGCCUGCGUCAUAUUAGAUAGUUGGUGAGGUAAUGGCUCACCAAGUCGAUGAUGUGUAGCUGGUCUGAGAGGAUGAUCAGCCAGACUGGAACUGAGACACGGUCCAGACUCCUACGGGAGGCAGCAGUGAGGAAUAUUUCACAAUGAGCGAAAGCUUGAUGGAGCAAUGCCGCGUGCAGGAUGAAGGCCCUCGGGUUGUAAACUGCUUUUAUAAGAGAAGAUUAUGACGGUAACUUAUGAAUAAGGGACGGCUAACUACGUG
rnacentral:rRNA from 1 species